GUGCUCAGAGCAUGACUACACGAGUUGGUUGAGAUGUUUCAAGCAAAGCUGAGGAUCCAUGAAACAAGCACCAUGUUUAUUCCUCAAAUUUCACCAUGGUUUUGUAGUUGUUUACAAUUCUUUUGUGUCACAAGUGGAGCUUCCUUUCCUUGGCUGAUUUCAUAUCAAGUUUGUGCAAACCAGGUGUAUGAUAUACAGCAUAGGACAGAAGCUUCAAGAGUGACUGAAAGAACAAAGGUAGUUCUUGAAGGUCAAACUGUUGUAAGGACACAUAACUACAGGAUAUAGUUGAGCAUUGUGUUUGAGGAAAUGCAGAUGUAACCAAGGGAAGCAACUUGAAAACAUGAUUUAUUGCACAACACAAAGGGAA